GUCCAGGGAUGGGAAACGAACCCAGUGUUAUGCUUACCGGGCAGAUGCCAUGUCCACUAGGCUACCCUGAA
rnacentral:tRNA from 1 species